CCUACGGGGUGCUGCAGUGGGGGAUAUUGCACAAUGGGGGAAACCCUGAUGCAGCGACGCCGCGUGGGUGAAGAAGCGCCUCGGCGCGUAAAGCCCUGUCAGCAGGGAAGAAAAUGACGGUACCUGAAGAAGAAGCCCCGGCUAACUACGUGCCAGCAGCCGCGGUAAUACGUAGGGGGCAAGCGUUAUCCGGAUUUACUGGGUGUAAAGGGGGCGCAGACGGCGAUGCAAGCCAGGAGUGAAAGCCCGGGGCCCAACCCCGGGACUGCUCUUGGAACUGCGUGGCGAGAGUGCAGGAGGGGCAGGCGGAAUUCCGGGUGUAGCGGUGAAAUGCGUAGAUAUCAGGAGGAACACCGGUGGCGAAGGCGGCCUGCUGGACUGCAACUGACGUUGAGGCCCGAAAGCGUGGGGAGCAAACAGGAUUAGAUACCCUGGUAGUC
rnacentral:rRNA from 1 species